CCCGCAGGUGGGCCGCUCCUCGCUGCUGGUGGGGGGCCUGAAGCCACAGUAUGCGCAGGAGCUGCUGGCAGAGCGCGCCCCGCAGCACGACAACACCACAACCACCGACUCCGAGAUGGAAGAGCCCUACCUGCAAGCAGUGUCCAAAGAGGAGGGGGCUCCCCCAAAGCUGAAGUGUGAGCUGUGCGGUCGCGUCGACUUCGCCUACAAGUUCAAGCGCUCCAAGCGUUUCUGCUCCAUGGCGUGUGCCAAGAGGUACAACGUGGGCUGUACGAAGCGCGUGGGGCUGUUCCACCCCGAUCGCAACAAGCUG